CCUACGGGAGGCAGCAGUAGGGAAUCUUCCACAAUGGGCGAAAGCCUGAUGGAGCAACGCCGCGUGGGUGAAGAAGGUCUUCGGAGCGUAAAACCCUGUUGUUAGAGAAGCAAGUGCGUGCGAGUAACUGUUCACGUUUCGACGGUAUCUAACCAGAAAGCCACGGCUAACUACGUGCCAGCAGCCGCGGUAAUACGUAGGUGGCAAGCGUUAUCCGGAUUUAUUGGGCGUAAAGGGAACGCAGGUGGUCUUUUAAGUCUGAUGUGAAAGCCUUCGGCUUAACCGGAGUAGUGCAUUGGAAACUGGGGGACUUGAGUGCAGAAGAGGAGAGUGGAACUCCAUGUGUAGCGGUGAAAUGCGUAGAUAUAUGGAAGAACACCAGUGGCGAAAGCAGCUCACUGGUCUGUAACUGACGCUGAGGUUCGAAAGCGUGGGUAGCAAACAGGAUUAGAUACCCGAGUAGUC
rnacentral:rRNA from 1 species